rnacentral:ncRNA from 1 species
UAAUAUUUAAUUAGAAGGAUUAGUAGCUAAAAUUAACAUUUGGCAGAGAAAGUAUCAGGGCUGGAAGUACUUAUUUGUUAGUUUAGUGAACUCGCCUGCUGUAUUUUCAAUUGAACUUUUAGUAAAUUGAAGCGGCUGUUUCACCGUUAUCGAAAUCAAAGUGCUGGUCAUUUUGAUCAGAAAAUAGGUGGUACCGCGAGAUAAAUCUACUCGUCCUAUAU